rnacentral:rRNA from 1 species
UGGGGAAUAUUGGACAAUGGGGGAAACCCUGAUCCAGCAAUGCCGCGUGUGUGAAGAAGGCCUUCGGGUUGUAAAGCACUUUGGGCGGGGAAGAAGUUGCGCUGUUUAAGAGAUAGUGUAAUUGACGGUACCCGCAGAACAAGCACCGGCUAACUCUGUGCCAGCAGCCGCGGUAAUACAGAGGGUGCGAGCGUUAAUCGGAGUUACUGGGCGUAAAGGGCGCGCAGGCGGUUGUACAAGUGGGAUGUGAAAUCCCCGGGCUUAACCCGGGAACUGCAUUCCAGACUGUAUGACUGGAGUACUGUAGAGGGUAGUGGAAUUUCCGGUGUAGCGGUGAAAUGCGUAGAGAUCGGAAGGAACACCAGUGGCGAAGGCGGCUACCUGGACAGAUACUGACGCUGAGGCGCGAAAGCGUGGGGAGCAAACAGG